rnacentral:rRNA from 1 species
CUGCUGCCUCCCGUAGGAGUUUGGGCCGUGUCUCAGUCCCAAUGUGGCCGUUCACCCUCUCAGGCCGGCUACUGAUCGUCGCCUUGGUGGGCCGUUACCCCGCCAACCAGCUAAUCAGACGCGGGUCCAUCUUGCACCACCGGAGUUUUUCACACCGAGCCAUGCGGCUCUGUGCGCUUAUGCGGUAUUAGCACCUAUUUCUAAGUGUUAUCCCCCGGUGCAAGGCAGGUUCCCCACGCGUUACUCACCCGUCCGCCACUAAG